UCCCGUAUUUGGCCAUCGCUCUGUGCUGCUUCUGAUUUCCGGAGAGUCGGGUUGCUCGGGAUUGCAGCCUGAAUGGGAGGUAAAUUUCUCCUAAAGCUAAAUACUGGCGAGAGACCGAUAGCGAACAAGUACCGUGAGGGAAAGAUGCAAAGAACUUUGAAAAGAGAGUUAAAAAGUACCUGAACUUGUUGGGGGGAAAGCGUUUGCUUCCAGUGUGCCCGCGCGCAUUCAGCCCUGACGGGUGUACUUGCGCGUGGGCGGUCAGCGUGGGUUUUGCGCCGCGCUGAUGGCCCCCGCGAGGCCUUCGGGCAACCGGGUGGUCGUGCGCGGCUCUCGACCGAGGCUCGCUCUCUGGUGGGGUCGGCUGAUCGUGUCGCGGUCUCACAAGCUGCUUGUGCUCUGCGCGCGUGAUUCCCUACCUGCCUCCUAGCGUGACGCUGGCGAAAUGGGCGCAACCGACCCGUCUAGAAACACGGACCAAGGAGUCUGACGACUGCGCGAGUCUUUGGGUGUCAACCCCAUGGGCGCAAUGAAAGUGACUGAUGCUCAGCAUCGACCGACCGUGAUCUUCUGUGAAUGGUUUGAGUACGAGCGUGGUCGUCGGGACCCGAAAGAUGGUGAACUAUGCCUGAGUAGGGUGAAGCCUGAAGAAAUUCAGGUGGAGGCUCGUAGCGAUACUGACGUGCAAAUCGUUCGUCGAACUUGGGUAUAGGGGCGAAAGACUAAUCGAACCAUCUAGUAGCUGGUUCCCUCCGAAGUUUCCCUCAGGAUAGCUGGAGCUCUUUGUUCAGUUUUGU
rnacentral:rRNA from 2 species